UACGGGGGGGGCAAGCGUUGUUCGGAAUUACUGGGCGUAAAGGGCGCGUAGGCGGCCUGCUAAGUCGGACGUGAAAUCCCCCGGCUCAACCGGGGAACUGCGUCCGAUACUGGUGGGCUCGAAUCCGGGAGAGGGAUGUGGAAUUCCAGGUGUAGCGGUGAAAUGCGUAGAUAUCUGGAGGAACACCGGUGGCGAAGGCGACAUCCUGGACCGACACUGACACUGAGGAGCGAAAGCCAGGGGAGCAAACGGG
rnacentral:rRNA from 1 species